UUUCUCUCUGACGAGAUAUAUCUUUUGCUGCGCAGCAAGCGACAAGCAUUUCCAUUUUCGUACGCACUCAGAGUCCAGAGUUCGCAGGAGCACUAGACAGCCAAAAAGAAAGGAUCUCGUUCUGUUCGUCGUCUUCCCCAAAUGUGAUCGGCCGUGCGACUGAUUAGAUAAAAUUUUUGCAAUGGAAUAAGGAGAAUCAGAUUUACACAAUGCAGAAAACGCAGAAGAAGUAAUAUGCACGUAAAUAAUGAUAAUGAUGAAGAAGAUAACUCACAUCAAAUAGCAGAAUAAAAUUCUGUGAAUCAACAAACAUUCAACUAACAAAAUAUAUUUGCUUCAAAGAUGUUGCUGAAAACUGCAUUUAUCUCAGUUGGUUCAUCGAAUUGAAGGACAAAAAGUUGACCAAAUGAACCAAUGAAAAAUUGCGUAGAUGCUGAGCAAAAAUAUCGCAGAACACGACUUCAUAAUUUACUCUGCAAUUUUUUGUUCAAUUUUGGUGGAAAGUAAACGGAUCUGAUUAACAUUGUCGUUAUUGACAUUUGCUUCUCAUCAUGCAUAGAUUUAUCCGCAAGAAAAGGAAGAUUUGUACAAAAUACACCUAACAUAUUUAAACGUGUUCAAAGACAGUAACGGACUCUAUAUUAUGUUUAUUUGUACAGAAGAGAUCCUGGAAAGUCGAAGUCUAAAAGAAAUCUACAAAAUAGACGAAGAAGCAUCAUAUAUAUGCAAGCGAAAUUGAACUGAUCCAGCACUCUGAUUGUUGAAACUACCGUUUUACUCCAAUGAAAGACAUUUUGCGUCGUAAUCCGAGAAAAAUUUUUCAUUGGCCGAAAAUGCUGUUCGUGAUUGCAUGCAAAGAAGAUAAAGUAAUGGAUUUAUUGUUCAACAGAUAUAUUCUUCCUAUGAAGUUGAGGUAUCUCAGCAGAAUAAUGGUAGUAACAACUACAUAGCAAUACCAGUUGCUUGGAAACAAGGAAACAUAUGGACAUAAGGAGACAUCUCCCGGCGCGCGUUAUUUCGUA